rnacentral:rRNA from 1 species
AACGAACGCUGGCGGCGUGCCUAACACAUGCAAGUCGAACGGAAUGAGGGGGCUUGCUCCUUCAUUUAGUGGCGCACGGGUGAGUAACGCGUAGAUAAUCUGCCCGACGAUCCGGGAUAACACUUCGAAAGAGGUGCUAAUACCGGAUAAGCCCACGGGUUCUUUGGAAUCUGCGGGAAAAGGGGGGGACCUUCGGGCCUUCUGUCGUCAGAUGAGUCUGCGUACCAUUAGCUAGUUGGUAGGGUAAAGGCCUACCAAGGCGACGAUGGUUAGCUGGUCUGAGAGGAUGAUCAGACACACUGGAACUGAGACACGGUCCAGACUCCUACGGGAGGCAGCAGUGGGGAAUUUUGCGCAAUGGGCGAAAGCCUGACGCAGCAACGCCGCGUGAGUGAUGAAGGCUUUCGGGUCGUAAAGCUCUGUCAAUGGGAAAGAAGUGUAUUGGAGCUAAUAUCUCCGAUACUUGACGGUACCCAUAAAGGAAGCACCGGCUAACUCCGUGCCAGCCGCCGCAGUAAUAC